rnacentral:rRNA from 1 species
UACGGAGGGCGCAAGCGUUAUCCGGAUUUACUGGGUUUAAAGGGUGCGCAGGCGGAUAUGUAAGUCAGUGGUGAAAUCUCUAGGCUUAACCUGGAAAUUGCCGUUGAUACUAUAUAUCUUGAAUGCUGUGGAGGUAAGCGGAAUAUGUCAUGUAGCGGUGAAAUGCUUAGAUAUGACAUAGAACACCUAUUGCGAAGGCAGCUUACUACGCAGAUAUUGACGCUCAUGCACGAAAGCGUGGGGAUCAAACAGG